rnacentral:rRNA from 1 species
GAUGAACGCUGGCGGCGUGCCUAACACAUGCAAGUCGAACGGACUAUUGUAGCAAUACAAUAGUUAGUGGCGAACGGGUGAGUAAUAUAUAAGUAAUCUACCCUUCAGUCAGGGACAACCUUUCGAAAGGAAGGCUAAUACCCGAUACGAUCCCUUUAAUCAUGUUAUUGGGAUGAAAGAUUUAUCGCUGAAGGACGAGCUUAUAUCUGAUUAGCUAGUUGGUGAGGUAACGGCCCACCAAGGCGAUGAU